rnacentral:rRNA from 1 species
UACGUAGGGGGCAAGCGUUGUCCGGAUUUAUUGGGCGUAAAGAGCGUGUAGGCGGCCUGACAGGUCUGCUGUGAAAACUCGAGGCUCAACCUCGAGACGUCGGCGGAAACCAUCUGGCUAGAGUCCGGAAGAGGAGAGUGGAAUUCCUGGUGUAGCGGUGAAAUGCGCAGAUAUCAGGAAGAACACCGGUGGCGAAGGCGGUUCUCUGGGCCUGACCUGACGCUGAGGAGCGAAAGCGUGGGGAGCGAACAGG